GUGCUUGCUUCGGCAGCACAUAUACUAAAAUUGGAACGAUACAGAGAAGAUUAGCAUGGCCCCUGCUCAAGGAUGACAUUCAAAUUUGUGAAGCGUUCCAUAUUUUU
rnacentral:snRNA from 1 species